UUGUCUCAAAGAUUAAGCCAUGCAUGUCUCAGUACAUACCGAAAUAAGGUGAAACCGCGAAAGGCUCAUUAUAUCAGUUAUGGUUCAUUAGAUCGUACCCACGUUUACUUGGAUAACUGUGGUAAUUCUAGAGCUAAUACAUGCAAACAGAACUCCGACCGGAGACGGAAGGAGCGCUUUUAUUAGAUCAAAACCAAUAGGCGGCGGCGGCCGGCGUUUUCGGACGUCGCGUCGUCGUCGUUACAUAAAUCGCACGACGAAUCUGAAUAACUUUAUGCCGAUCGCAUGGUCACGCACCGGCGACGGAUCUUUCAAAUGUCUGCCUUAUCAACUUUCGAUGGUAGGUUAUGCGCCUACCAUGGUUGUAACGGGUAACGGGGAAUCAGGGUUCGAUUCCGGAGAGGGAGCCUGAGAAACGGCUACCACAUCCAAGGAAGGCAGCAGGCGCGCAAAUUACCCACUCCCGGCACGGGGAGGUAGUGACGAAAAAUAACGAUACGGGACUCAUCCGAGGCCCCGUGAUCGGAAUGAGCACACUUUAAAUCCUUUAACUAGGAUCAAUUGGAGGGCAAGUCUGGUGCCAGCAGCCGCGGUAAUUCCAGCUCCAAUAGCGUAUAUUAAAGUUGCUGCGGUUAAAAAGCUCGUAGUCGAAAUUGUGUCCCGGGCCGCCGGUUCGUCGCUCGCGACGCCAACUGGCGCGCACGCGGGACGUCCAGCCGGUACCACGAACCCGCCGACGGUGCUCUUAACCGAGUGUCCAGGCGGGGGCCGGCAAUGUUACUUUGAACAAAUUAAAGUGCUUAAAGCAGGCUAAACUGCGCUCGUAUAAUACGUGCAUGGAAUAAUCGAAUAGGACCUCUGUUCUAUUUUGUUGGUUUUUGUGGAACGCACAGAGGUAAUGAUCAAUGGGUGCGGAUGGGGGCAUUCGUAUUGCGACGUUAGAGGUGAAAUUCUUGGAUCGUCGCAAGACGCACUAAAGCGAAAGCAUUUGCCAAAAACGCUUUCAUCGAUCAAGAACGAAAGUUAGAGGUUCGAAGGCGAUCAGAUACCGCCCUAGUUCUAACCAUAAACUAUGCCAGCUAGCGAUCCGCCGCAGUUACUACUACGACUCGGCGGGCAGCUUUCGGGAAACCAAAGCUUUUGGGUUCCGGGGGAAGUAUGGUUGCAAAGCUGAAACUUAAAGGAAUUGACGGAAGGGCACCACCAGGAGUGGAGCCUGCGGCUUAAUUUGACUCAACACGGGAAACCUCACCAGGCCCGGACACCGAAAGGAUUGACAGAUUGAGAGCUCUUUCUUGAUUCGGUGGGUGGUGGUGCAUGGCCGUUCUUAGUUGGUGGAGCGAUUU
rnacentral:rRNA from 1 species